AAGUCGAACGGCAGCACGGGGGCAACCCUGGUGGCGAGUGGCGAACGGGUGAGUAAUACAUCGGAACGUGUCCUGUAGUGGGGGAUAGCCCGGCGAAAGCCGGAUUAAUACCGCAUACGCUCUACGGAGGAAAGGGGGGGAUCUUAGGACCUCUCGCUACAGGGGCGGCCGAUGGCAGAUUAGCUAGUUGGUGGGGUAAAGGCCUACCAAGGCGACGAUCUGUAGCUGGUCUGAGAGGACGACCAGCCACACUGGGACUGAGACACGGCCCAGACUCCUACGGGAGGCAGCAGUGGGGAAUUUUGGACAAUGGGCGCAAGCCUGAUCCAGCAAUGCCGCGUGUGUGAAGAAGGCCUUCGGGUUGUAAAGCACUUUUGUCCGGAAAGAAAACCUCUGGGUUAAUACCCCGGGGGGAUGACGGUACCGGAAGAAUAAGCACCGGCUAACUAC
rnacentral:rRNA from 2 species